rnacentral:rRNA from 1 species
GUCUAUGGCCAUGCCACCCUGAACAAGCCCGAUCCCGUCUGAUCUCGGAAGCUAAGCAGGGUCAGGCCUGGUUAGUACUUGGAUGGGAGAUCACCUAGGAAGAGCAGGUGCUGUAGGCA